AGCGGUACUCCGAAUGCAUCUAGAUUAUUAAUUUGAUCAUGGCUCAGAGUGACACGCUGGCGGUAGGCCUAACACAUGCAAGUCGAACGGCAGCACAGGAGAGCUUGCUCUCUGGGUGGCGAGUGGCGGACGGGUGAGGAAUACAUCGGAAUCUACUCUGUCGUGGGGGAUAACGUAGUGGAAACUUACGCUAAUACCUGCAUACGACCUACGAGUGAAAGCAGGGGAUCUUCGGACCUUGCGCGAUUGAAUGAAGCCGAUUU
rnacentral:rRNA from 1 species